rnacentral:lncRNA from 1 species
CGGGCGAGUCAAAUACAGAGAGCGUUGACUGUAUAGCGCUUUUCGGCCAGGACACACUUACUGGCUUAACAUAUAUAACACAUAACACCGGUUUAUGUGGCUCACUGAAUUUGGCCCCACUUUUUUCGAUUUUCGGAUUUUUUUUAUUUUUAAUUGUUUGUUCGCCGUUUGUUCGUUAAUGUUCGAAUGUAAAAAUCGUUUGUUCGUCUUUUAUUUAUUUAUAAUUAAUUAAACAAAUGGUCACCCUUAAGUUGGCCCCCCUUACUAGAUAUCUUUAUUUUUAUCGCUCAGAUUAAUUAAUUUUGAUCAAUUAUCGUUUGUUCGACGACUAUUGGUGAUUGUUCGAUCAUAAAAAUAAUCAAAUUCCCAAUUAUUAAUUAUUUUAUAUCUAAUAAGCAAACCCUCAAUUCACGCCUACACUGCGCAUGCGCCGAUUUUGUCCAUCAGCUGGCAAUGGCCGUAUUUACUAGCGUUUUGUUAACGAGUGCGUUUAUACUGUCUAAUUAUUUCUUAUGUAGAUCAAAAAAAUAUUGAAAACUUCAACAAUACUUCGACAAAAAAAUGUGGGUGAAGACGGCCAAUUAGUCGUUAGAGUACGAUUAGCGUGGUUUUAAUAAAUUCAGUCAUUUUUAAUGAUAUUGAAUAUUAACAAGCAUAUGGAAAUUUCGGUGAUUUCUAAUUAUUCUAAGAAUAUUUUAGAAGUACAACUUUCGUGUUAAAAUGAUACUAUUCAUUACCAUGCAAUAGGAGAUAGUUAUAAUACUUGUAUUUUAUAAUAAAAUUAAUAAUUUCUAAAUUCA